AUUGAACGCUGGCGGCAGGCCUAACACAUGCAAGUCGAGCGGGGUUUUCGGACCUAGCGGCGGACGGGUGAGUAAUGCGUAGGAAGCUGCCCGAUAGAGGGGGAUACCAGUUGGAAACGACUGUUAAUACCGCAUAAUGUCUACGGACCAAAGUGUGGGACCUUCGGGCCACAUGCUAUCGGAUGCGCCUACGUGGGAUUAGCUAGUUGGUGAGGUAAUGGCUCACCAAGGCGACGAUCUCUAGCUGGUUUGAGAGGAUGAUCAGCCACACUGGAACUGAGACACGGUCCAGAUUCCUACGGGAGGCAGCAGUGGGGAAUAUUGGACAAUGGGCGCAAGCCUGAUCCAGCCAUGCCGCGUGUGUGAAGAAGGCCUUCGGGUUGUAAAGCACUUUCAGCGAGGAGGAAGGGUGGUGUGUUAAUAGCACAUCAUUUUGACGUUACUCGCAGAAGAAGCACCGGCUAACUCUAUGCCAGCAGCCGCAGUAAUAC
rnacentral:rRNA from 1 species